UUGUACACACCGCCCGUCACACCAUGAGAGUUUGUAACACCCAAAGCCGGUGAGGUAACCUUUUAGGAGCCAACCGUCUAAGGUGGGACAGAUGAUUAGGGUGAAGUCGUAACAAGGUAGCCGUAGGAGAACCUGCGGCUGGAUCACCUCCUUUCU
rnacentral:rRNA from 2 species